GCUGGAUGAAGUUGUCACCAGUGCUGUGGUGGUGUUCUCCAGCUCCCACAGUGACAGAAAUGUUGGAAAACAUUUUGAAAAUCUCCAAGGACUACUGACAAAUUCAGCGCAGUCAAACUUGGACGAUUCAACCAUUGUGGAAGACUGUGUGACUGAUAUCGGACCUACGCCCUUCAAACAGCAUUUUGAGGACUUAAUAACCCAAACAGUUAUUGAGAAAUCUGGUGAUGACAACAUGUACUUCUGCCCGACUUUCAUCCCUUCCUUGCUUAAGUACUUUCUGCCCCUGGCUGGUCUGUGGUCUGGCCUACUCUUGGGUGACCUUGGAACAGGGACCAUUUAUCAGAAACUUUCCCAGAAGUACAAAAAUGCUGCAAAAAAACCCACACAGAAUUACACAGAGGACAACAAAACUCGAGGGAUAAUGGAAAAAAGCCAGUGGGACCUCAAAAAGAUCCGUUUUCAACGGAGACGUCUGACCAGGCUGGACGAUUUUGUACAUACAUACAAAGUCACCU